rnacentral:rRNA from 1 species
GCUAAGUCAGCCAGGUGUGAAAGCCCCGGGCUCAACCUGGGAACGGCAUCUGGAACUGCUUGGCUAGAGUGCAGGAGAGGAAGGUAGAAUUCCCGGUGUAGCGGUGAAAUGCGUAGAGAUCGGGAGGAAUACCAGUGGCGAAGGCGGCCUUCUGGACUGACACUGACACUGAGGUGCGAAAGCGUGGGUAGCAAACAGGAUUAGAUACCCUGGUAGUCCACGCCGUAAACGAUGUCAACUAGCCGUUGGGUCCCUUGAGGACUUAGUGGCGCAGCUAACGCAAUAAGUUGACCGCCUGGGGAGUACGGCCGCAAGGUUAAAACUCAAAUGAAUUGACGGGGGCCCGCACAAGCGGUGGAGCAUGUGGUUUAAUUCGAUGCAACGCGAAGAACCUUACCUACCCUUGACAUCCAGAGGACUUUCCAGAGAUGGAUUGGUGCCUUCGGGAACUCUGAGACAGGUGCUGCAUGGCUGUCGUCAGCUCGUGUUGUGAAAUGUUGGGUUAAGUCCCGUAACGAGCGCAACCCCUAUCCUUAUUUGCCAGCGAGUAAUGUCGGGAACUCUAAGGAGACUGCCGGUGACAAACCGGAGGAAGGUGGGGACGACGUCAAGUCAUCAUGGCCCUUACGGGUAGGGCUACACACGUGCUACAAUGGCAAGUACAAAGGGUUGCAAUACGGCGACGUGGAGCCAAUCCCAUAAAGCUUGCCUCAGUCCGGAUUGGAGUCUGCAACUCGACUCCAUGAAGUCGGAAUCGCUAGUAAUCGUGGAUCAGAAUGCCACGGUGAAUACGUUCCCGGGCCUUGUACACACCGCCCGUCACACCAUGGGAGUGGACUGCACCAGAAGUGGUUAGCCUAACCUUCGGGAGGGCGAUCACC